rnacentral:rRNA from 1 species
UACGGAGGAUGCGAGCGUUAUCCGGAUUUAUUGGGUUUAAAGGGUGCGCAGGCGGUCUGUUAAGUCAGCGGUCAAAGCCCGGGGCUCAACCCCGGCCCGCCGUUGAAACUGGCAGUCUCGAGUUGGAGAGAAGUAUGCGGAAUGCGCGGUGUAGCGGUGAAAUGCGUAGAGAUAUGGAGGAACACCAGUGGCGAAGGCGGCUUCCUGGUCUGCAACUGACACUGAGGCGCGAAAGCGUGGGGAGCAAACAGG